UACGGAGGAUGCGAGCGUUAUCCGGAUUUAUUGGGUUUAAAGGGUGCGUAGGCGGGCUUUUAAGUCAGCGGUAAAAAUUCGGGGCUCAACCCCGUCCGGCCGUUGAAACUGGGGUCCUUGAGUGGGCGAGAAGAAGGCGGAAUGCGUGGUGUAGCGGUGAAAUGCAUAGAUAUCACGCAGAACCCCGAUUGCGAAGGCAGCCUUCCGGCGCCCUACUGACGCUGAGGCACGAAAGUGCGGGGAUCGAACAGG
rnacentral:rRNA from 1 species